rnacentral:rRNA from 1 species
CCUAUGGGUGGCAGCAGUGGGGGAUAUUGCACAAUGGGGGGAACCCUGAUGCAGCGACGCCGCGUGGGUGAAGAAGCGCCUCGGCGCGUAAAGCCCUGUCAGCAGGGAAGAAAAUGACGGUACCUGAAGAAGAAGCCCCGGCUAACUACGUGCCAGCAGCCGCGGUAAUACGUAGGGGGCAAGCGUUAUCCGGAUUUACUGGGUGUAAAGGGAGCGUAGACGGCGCUGCAUGUCCGGAGUGAAAGCCCAUGGCUUAACCAUGGUACUGCUCUGGAAACUGUGGAGCUUGAGUGCGGGAGGGGCAGGCGGAAUUCCUAGUGUAGCGGUGAAAUGCGUAGAUAUUAGGAGGAACACCGGCGGCGAAGGCGGCCUGCUGGACCGUAACUGACGUUGAGGCUCGAAAGCGUGGGGAGCAAACAGGAUUAGAUACCCGAGUAGUC